rnacentral:tRNA from 6 species
GCGCCCGUAGCUCAACUGGAUAGAGCAUCUGACUACGGAUCAGAAGGCUAGGAGUUCGAAUCUCUUCGGGCGCGCCA